UACGAAGGGUGCAAGCGUUACUCGGAAUUACUGGGCGUAAAGCGUGCGUAGGUGGUUCGUUAAGUCUGAUGUGAAAGCCCUGGGCUCAACCUGGGAAUGGCAUUGGAUACUGGCGACCUAGAGUGCGGUAGAGGGGUGUGGAAUUCCCGGUGUAGCAGUGAAAUGCGUAGAUAUCGGGAGGAACAUCUGUGGCGAAGGCGACACCCUGGACCAGCACUGACACUGAGACACGAAGGCCAGGGGAGCAAACGGG
rnacentral:rRNA from 1 species